AUUCGGCUGAGAUCCGGAACCGAGCGAAACCUCCGAAUCGAAGGAACCGGUCGUUCUCUCCGUUUCCUCUCCCGUGACCCGGCCCUAUCCCCUCCCUCUCUGUGCGCCGCCGCUUUCUCGUCUCGCCCCUCGCUCUCAGGUGCGCCGCCGCUCCCUCUUAGCCCCUCCCUCUCCGGCGCGCCGUCACUCCCUCGUCCCCCUUCCCUCUCCGCACAAAAAGGGAGGAAAAUGGGGUGCUAGGAAGAAGAGGAGCACGUGCGGACGGCAAGCAGAUGCGUGGCUGCUGUUGCAGCUGGCCUACAGCAGCGAUUGCGAUCUUCCUCCUUGAAUAUGCUUUGGCUCUACAGAUUUUACUGCAUGUAGCUACGAGAGAGAUGGAGAGGAUAUUGAGAUGACACUCGUGGUUGCUUUUUGAUUAAA